rnacentral:rRNA from 1 species
AUCUUCCACAAUGGACGAAAGUCUGAUGGAGCAACGCCGCGUGAGUGAAGAAGGUUUUCGGAUCGNAAAACUCUGUUGUAAGGGAANAACAAGUACAGUAGUAACUGGCUGUACCUUGACGGUACCUUAUUAGAAAGCCACGGCUAACUACGUGCCAGCAGCCGCGGUAAUACGUAGGUGGCAAGCGUUGUCCGGAUUUAUUGGGCGUAAAGGGAGCGCAGGCGGUGAUUUAAGUCUGAUGUGAAAGCCCACGGCUCAACCGUGGAAGGUCAUUGGAAACUGGAUCACUUGAGUGCAGAAGAGGAAAGUGGAAUUCCAUGUGUAGCGGUGAAAUGCGUAGAUAUAUGGAGGAACACCAGUGGCGAAGGCGACUUUCUGGUCUGUAACUGACGCUGAGGCUCGAAAGCAUGGGGAGCAAACA